AACUUGACCGCUGCCUGCGAGACGGGUCGGUGAUAGAAAAAGGAAGGAUCGCGGGAAAUAGGGAGAAAGUUUCAAGUUUCUGGUUGGGGGAAAGGGGACUCUGUAAUGCGAGCUUGGGUAAACAAUGCUUUCCAACAGAGGUUUCUGGAAGUGCCUCUGGAACUCCGCAAAGGAUAGACUUAAUUUUCAUUAACAAAAUCUAUUUUUUAAAACUGCACUUAGAAUAAUUUCAACACUCCAUGUGUUGAAUUUGGCCUCCAUCAAAGAAGAGAUGCAAAGGGUUAAUUUGUAGAUAGGUGAAGUCAAUCUUGGGCCAACUUCUGGACUCAUGGUUAUUUGUUGUUGUUAAUUUAAUUUAUAUGCCGAGUCUGAAAAGCAAGCGGAUUUUUAAAAAAUUGUUACCAUUCACAAUGACUUCUCUAUAGGAUCAGAACUGGUUCACUUUACAGUCAACCCAACUUGGAGGGGUUAAAAUAGGUGCUGCAGAUGGUAAGUGCAUUGUAACCUCCAUCCAUCUUCCCCAUUUCAGUAGCUCUGUAUUCAAAUCUUUAUUGAGUAUGUACUUUGCACAUGGAACUGUCUUUGAUUGACUGUAUAAGCUAAUGUUAUACUUUAAACCUAAAAAUAAAUUAACACCAAUAAAACAUUGUCGUCGGCUGGGCGCCACUGCUCACACUUGUAAUCCCAGCACUUUGGGAGGCCAAGGCAGGUGGAUCAC
rnacentral:lncRNA from 1 species